GAGCUGGGAGGUGCUGCGGCUCCACUCAGCGCUUCCUGGAAACUCCCGCUCAGGAGAGGAGGGGGGCGGGGGAGAGCGGUAGGGAAAGAGUCCCAGGCCGGCUGCGGGCGGGGGGGCGCUCCCUCCUCACCGCCGCCCCCGUGAGGCGCGUACGGAGCUCGGGCGGCCCCCAGCGCCAUUUCCCUUUGUGGAAAGUGAGGGAUGAACUCCUCAGACCCCCUCCUCCACCAUCGAGGAGGCCUUUUUCCCCCUUAUAACGUGCGGAGCCCCGCCAUGAGGGAGAGUCCUUCCCGGGGCCGUGCCAGGGGAGCGGCGGAGUUACCGCUCAGAGGGAGGGGAGCGGAGUUUGUAAAUGGAAACACGGGUACACGAGCGCCCAGCACGGCCGGGCUGCGACGGUCCGGCUGCAAAAGGCUGAGAACAAAAAAAAAAAGAAAAAAAAAAAAAAAAAAAAAAGUGAAAUGCCUCCCUCUGCUGCCCCCUGGCUGCUGAGUGGGGAAGACAGGAGGGGGGGGAGAGCCCGCCGGUGGGGGUCCAUAAGGGGCGGGGACACGCGGCGUCAGUCCGCGCUGCGAACGUUCGGAGCUCAGCCGAGGGCGUCCCGCCGCCCUCACGGCUCUGCAUGAGAUCCGGGAUGGAGCGAGGUCCGGCUCGUGGCCGGCAACGGGUGGUGUUCCCUAGCGGUCUGUAAUGGGGCCAGCCCUGUGUAAUAUCCUUAGUGAUGGUCUGGACAAGGGGAUUCAGUGCACUUUCGGGAAUUUCGCAGGUGACACCAGACUGGGAGGAAGCGCCGAUCUGCCUGAGGGUAGGAAGGCCCUGCAGAGGAACCUGGGCAGGCUGAUCUCUGGUCUGAGGCCAGUAGGAUGAGCCUGAACAAGCUCAAGUGUUGGGCCCUGCACUUUGGCCACAACAGCCACACACAGUGCUGCAGGCAUGGGGCAGAGCAGCGGAGAGCUGUGUGGAGGAGCAGGACCUGGGGGUGUUGGUAACGGUGUUGAACAUGAGCUAGCAGGGUUCCCAGGGGGCCGAGGAGCCCAACGGCAUCCUGGUUGUGUUAGCAGCAGUGCAGCCAGCAGGAGCAGGUGGUGACCAUCCCUCUUUACGGCACUAAUGGGGCCCCACCUCAGUGCUGUGCUGGGCCCCUCACUACAAGAAAGACAUUGAGGUCCUGGAGUGUGUGCAGAGAAGGGAAAGGAGCUGUGAGGGGUCUGGAGCACAGUGCUAUGGGGAGUGGAUAAGGGAAACGGGAUGGUUCCAUCUGGAGAAGAGGUGGCUCAGGGGAGACCUCAUCACUCACUACAACUACCUGAAGGGAGGCUGUGGUGAAGUUAGGGUUGGCCUAUUUUCCCAGAUAACAGCAAUAGGACAUGAGGUAAUGGCCUUAAGUUGCACUGGGGGAGGUUCAGUUUGGAUAUUAGAAAAAAAAUAUUCUCAGACAGAAUGGUAAUACAUUGGAACAGGCUGCCCAAAGAGGUGAUGAGUCGUCAUCUGUAGAGGUGUUCAAGAAAAGGGUGAAUGUGGCUCUGAGUGACAUUGUCUUGAGUAGUCACAGACAUGGGUUGGUGGCUGGACUUGAUGAUCUUAGUGGUCUUUCUGACCUUAAUGAUAAUAUUCUCCCCUUCCUGUUCUGCCUUGGCACUGGGCUGUGGGUCAACUCAGACAUCAGAACCGUUCCAGCACUGAACGGAUGGUCUCCAGUAGCACUGGGGCUGCACUCAGGAAAAAAAAAGUGAUGUGUAAUGGAAUGAUGUGGGAGAAAAAGGUUAAUGACAGCAAGUAGAUGCCCAUAAAUCCUGUUAACCAUCAAGCAUUUCCAUAGAAAUAUCCUGAUUCCCAAUGCCCCACACCUUUCACAAGCUUCCAUUUCCUUAUCGCCAUUCCUGAAUUAGUAUGUGGCUUCAUUUACAAACAUAAAAUCCAGAUGUAAAUCUAGGGUGAAGGGUUUUCAACCUUAUGUCCCUGACUUGUGGGUUUCAUGAAGUUCUGUCUCAUUCAUUGGUCAGCCUCAACCUGCGUGGUGCAGGGGAGAUGGGUAUCCUAGUCUUAGGAAUCUUUAGGACAAAGAGAGGACAUCCAAUGACUGAGCUCCUCUAGUCCUGACCAAUUAUAGAUGAUCCGUUCUCUGCUUUAGGCCUCGGGUCACUCUUAGCUUUUGGUUGCUCUCUUUGUUACGCUUUUAUUAUUUUGGUCUUUGUACUCCAGUCAAUUCAGAGUGUUUUGUAGAUAUCUGUGUUUCUUCUGUCAGCCUCAUACUGCUUCUACCAUCAAAAUAUUAAAACACAAAAGCUUGCUGAUUAUUCAUCAGCAGAUCUCUGGAUUUGCACACAGGCUGCUUUCUUGGAGCAAGUCAGCAAAUUAAAACCAGCUCCUUCAAAAAAACCUUUUUGCUGAGAAUCAGUUGUUUCCGGAUCCUUUUGCCCCUUAAUAAAAAAAAGCAGGGGAAAGCUAAUAGCCACAGAUGAAAAGCCAAUAGCACAUCAGAUUGUGAUGCUAGUUAUGUUGGAGUAAUUGCCAUUCUGUGUUUAGCUAACAGGAGAUAGGAAAAUGUCACUUUGUUUACGUGUCCCAUUAGAAUAAAUCUUCCUAGAUACUUCAGGGGGAUAUAGUGUCUGCUAACAAAGAAUUGAUUCAGGGGUCUGGACUGAAAAGCUUUGCAUUGUUCAGUAGAUAGUUUAAAUUAUCGUGGGAGAAUUAUCAAAAGCCUAAAAAAACCCAAACACAUUAAAGUGAAGUACAGAAAUUUGUAGUGUCUAACUGUAAGAAAUACAAGCAUUGGAAAAGGGAAAAAUAAAACCCACAUCUCCUGGAUUUUGUGAGCUCUUAAUCAAGGAAAAAAUGCUUUAUUCUAAACAUCCUCUUUUUUGUGCUCUGGUGUAAGUUACUACUUGUCUUUUUGUUUUUAUGGAAACCAGUAUGGACCAUGCUAGUAUUAGGGACCUGAGUGGUCCUGGUGGCUCCUGUUCAAUGAAGCCACUAGUGCCAGUAGCCCAACAGAACAGCCCUCAGCAUGCCCAUGAGGUGGGAAGGUGCUGCUGGCAAAGGUUCAGGCUCUGUCAUUAAGUGUAAACCAAUGACUCUGGCUGAAGUUAGUUCAGUUAAUGAUGCUGACUGCCUGGCCAGCAGACAGCUUAGGGCUUGGAACUGUUUUGCAGCUGAGAGGUAAAGGUUUUGCUUACAAGUAAGUGAUGUAACAGCAUUGUUGAUAAUAGAUAAUAGAUGCAAUAUGAAUCCUUCUCCUGCUGUCACGUCAGCUUUCAGCACCAGGUAGAAUCACAGAAUCACCUGAUAAGGUUAAAAAAAAAAAGAAAAAAAGAAAAAAAGAUGUUUGAGGCUUGUGCUUAAUUUUAAAUAAUUACUGGGUCAGGUAUAAUUUUCAAACCUGUAUUUUUAUGUUCAGGCUUACAUUUUUAUGGGUGAGCAGAGAUCAUUCUGGACCUGGACUGGCAGCAUCCAGCAAAGCAGAGGGCUGCUGCUCCCAUGCUGAGUGCAUUGGGCAGGGAAAGCUGCGGGUACCAGUGAGCACAGUGCUCCCGUGGAACAUGACUGGGUGACGUCACUGAACCACUGAGCAGGAAGCUCUGCUCGUCAGCUCUUGAGCCUUCUGCUAGGCCUCUGGCAGAGGAUGAGGGGAGUUAAAGGAGCUUCCCAAAUGGGAAAGUCGGUUAAAUGAUUUAUUUGUGAGUCAGCAGCUGAAGCAACAUUAGCAUGGGAAGGGAAUCCCACUAUUAAUGAAAGAAACAUUUUCGUGCCUGCAUGCUUAAGUGAAAUCCCAUGCAACACUGCAGCCCAGUCACAGCUUCUAAAAUGUGCAAAACCACACCAUUUCUGUGCUCUGAGCGUAGACAGCACAAAUCUGGGGGAGUCAAAAGGAGGUGGCAUUGUUUGCUCCAAUUUGCUGCAGCUGAGGCCCUUUCCUCUUUCCAGGCUCCUCACUGGAGAGUGCACCACACGACACAGAGAUGUGUUAUGAUAGCACAGCGUGUACUGGUUAUGGAGCGAGCCCAGCUGAGUGCAUAGCAGUAAGGGAAGAAGAGGUCUGCAGUUCCAGAUUUCACUUCUGGCUCCUCAGAACUGGUUCAUCGGGAACAAAAAAUUGCUGCAGCUCAAAUUUCCAUCUCAUGCAUCUGCCUGGAUUGGCAGCUGUGCUUGCGGGUGAAGUUGUGAACACGUUAAGUAAAUUGGUUCAUUACCAGCAGAGGGAGCGUGGGUCAGGCUGGGUUCAGCGGGGAGUCAAGAGGCCAAAGCGGAGAUCGUCUCCCAAGGAAUUGUUGCUUUGCUGCCCAGAUGGUUUCCUAAACCCAAAUGAACCCAGAGAUAUGACACGUGCAAGGCUAGGACCACUCCUGGGCUCCCCAGCCCACAUAUCUCCUCAUCCCCUUCUUAGAAGAUGCUCCAUAAGUCAGAGUCACUAGAUGGUACUGUUGCUGUUUAAUAUUUAUGCCUCUGUGGACUGGCUGCCUGGAGAACUCACAUUUCUGCUGAGAGAUGAAGAAAGGCCUCAUAACUCACCAGGCAAACACAAGGAAGGAGCUGAGGGAGGCAGGAGCUCAGUUCUCCUGUAAUUCCAUGGUUGGAAGGAUGGCAAAGGGGUUUCACUCUGGCUGCUCUGCUUCCUGAAGGGGAAACGUAGUGAGGCUGGCCCAGCCCAUAAAGGCCCAAAACACUUGGAGACCUCCAUCUGCAGGUGGAAGCUUUGCUGGGGAGAUGCCAGCUUAAGAGGCUCAGCCUGCACAGGUUCCCCAAACCCUCAGAAAUACCCCAGUGACAUUCAUCAUGUGAAUCCCAGCACUGCAGGAAGUCAGCAACCUUCCCAUAGCAGCCAAUGGCAACAAGCAGAUCAUUGUGCUCUGCAUAGUCCCAGCCAGAAUGUGCUCCUCCCAGCCCACGUGGCUGCUACAAGAGGGGAAAGUCAGGCCAAUUAAAUCAGGCAGCAUUGAAUCCCUAAUUGACAUAAAUGAGGCAGACAGACAGCUGGGAGGGAUGGGGCAGGUGUCCUGGGUGAGAAAGGUCUGGAAUGCACCCUGGGGUCCUGCUUUGCCCUGUAAACAUCUCAGGCAGUGGUAGAGUUGAUGGGGUUGUUCCUUAAAAAAAAACAAAAAACAAACAACAAAACAAAACAAAAAAACCUACAAACAAUCCCCAAAGAUCCCUCAAAAAUGCCUUUUGUUGUGCAUGUUGCAUAAAAAGUGUUUUUGCUUGAUGCAAGUUGCAUGCAAGGCCCUGCAGCUGAAUGAUGGCAAAGUAAUUUUAAACCCUAUUUGUUUCUUUUUCCACAUGUGGGCACUGCCAGACUGGGUAUUCCCCCUCUGAUUUAUCAGGGUGUGUCCUUUCUCCUUGAGGAGACCCUUCAAAUAUCAAUUCAUGACUUUCCAAAUUAUUAAAAUCUGUGCUUCACAGGGGGAUGAGGCACAGAGCCUGAGGAGGCACUGCCACUGCACUCCAUGCAGGAAACCAGAAUUACCAGCCCACGGCACAGCCUCACCCAGGGUGUUGUCCUGAUGGGAACAAACGCUGUUGGCCAUUUUCUGGAAAAAUCUCACCUGUACCAUGCAGAGAACAGAGGGUACUUGCUGGUAUGGAGCACUCAGGGUCUACCUGUAGACAUUGGAGUGGAGAAGCCCUAGGAGUGGCAAACGGAAAGAGAGCAAAAUUUAGCAAAUAAUCAGUAACAAAAUCAUUUUCUGAUGACUUCAAGCAGAGGAGGAAGGGAUUUGCCUUGCAGCUCUGGAAAUGAUGCUCACAAAUCUGUGCUGGCGGAGGCUCCUGUAAGUGAAGUCUGAACUCAGCCCUUGUAAUUCUGUAAUUUGAAUAUCAUUUUCACAGACCUUACAAGAUGCAGAUGAAUGAGAGAUUCCUGGCUUUGAGUCAAAUGCAACAGUAAUUAAAUGUUUAUAAAACACUUUAAGCUUGUGAAAUGCUAUUAUCAUAUACAGGAAAGCAAUAGGCAAUAGAAGACUGGAGCAGAGUUUGAAGCACACAGUGAGCAGAGCAUACUCCUGCAGCUUUCUUCUACAGGUGCUAACAGAGCAUUGUGAAGAACGUUACCAUGCUCCUUUUUUUAUAACCAGAACGUCAACUAGAAUUGCUUUCUUCCAUACAAACAUGUGUGAUUCCAAAGUUUUUCCCUCUGCAAUAAAUAUUCCUGCCGAUGGGCAGCAUGCUGUUAUCAUCUUGGGAAAUGAGGAAGCGCUGCCACUUCUGAUCUCUCCCAUCGUGCCAAAGACAUUCCACCUGUUACAGGUUUCUAACACCAUCUGCUGUUUAAAAAUAAGACAGCAUUGGAAAUACCAUCACACAGAGUCUGUGCUCUUUUGAUAAGCCAGAAGCAAUGCCAGCUCAUCUAGAAGGGUUGGUGUAAUUGGCACAUUCCACUUUUGUUCCUUUAGCCCCAAACAUAUUCCAGCUUGUUCCUAAUUAGGAAGUGAAUGAUUUCUUGGGGACCCAGGGAUCAGUGAACAGCAGCCGAGAGCCAGACCCCAGCAUUCUUCCACUGCCAGACCUGACCCAAAGAAUCAUAGAAUCUUAAAAUCAUUAGAGUUGGAAGGGACCUUACAAGAACUCACAGAUGUUUUUUUUUAAGAGAGAGCCACAGGCUCUGCAGGGUGUGGGGAACUCAAAAAAAACUUUUAUUUUCUCAAAAAUACCAAUAUUUACCUCUUACUGUCUCAUGCUGCUGCUGUGUGAUGUUCCAACCAAGGAUUCUUUUACUGCUUCCUAACUGAAAGCAAUGCCAAUUUUUGUCCUAGGAAAAACAAGAGCACCUUAGACCUCAUUAAAUGUUUGAAUCAAAGUUCUCAUCACCAACGCUCUCAGUUUUUGUUGCAUGUCUUAAAAAGCAGCAAAGUAUUCUUAACAGCGCUUUUUCCAAAAAGAAGAGUUUACUCCAAAUGUGUUCUAACUGGCUUCACCCAGAGUCAAUGCAGGUUCAGAUGAAAAAAAAAAAAAAACACCCCAAUUCUUAAAGUCCAAUACCA